GUGGAAUUGCGCUCAUUCAGACCAGCCUUGGACAUUCGGAAGUUGAGUCGCAGUUUACAAAAUAGAAAGAUAUCUGUGUUUUAGGAUGGCGGUUAUACUUCAGGCUCCUUUAUCAACCCGAUGAAGGAGCCUCAGAACCCCAACGCUCUACUAAUUAGAAAUGUGAUAAACAGCUCCAAGACAGCGGGCGCGGAUUCAGGCGGGGGGCGCGCGCACACCCCCCCCCCCCCUUUGGGAUAUGGCAACAGCUACCCAGUUUCUGUCGCAGUUUGCAAGAUAGAAAGAUAUCUGUGUUUUAGGAUGGCGGUUAUACUUCAGGCUCCUUCAUCAACCCGAUGAAGGAGCCUCCGAGCCCCAGCGCUCCAAGACAGCGGGCGCGGAUUCAGGCGGGGGGCGCGCCCACCCCCCUUUGGGAUAUGGCAAGCCGAUUGGGCCAAUAAUCGUCCGUACAAUAACGCGCAGUUCCAGCCCGUAUGUUACGCGCCUUUUUUACGUCACCACGUUUCCAGCCAGAACGCGCGGUGACGUAAAAAAACGCGCGCUCGCGUAAAAUACUGGUUGGAAUUGCGCGUUAUUGUACGGACGAUUAUUGGCCCAAUCGGCUUGCCAUACCACAAUGGCGUCGUUGCGAGCAGGAGGAGACCUGGAAGAUUUGAGGCCAAACAAGAAAACCAGUCAACCAUCUCUUAAGAUUCUGGUCCAAUCCAACAGAAGGUGGACCUGGCACAACUACAGAAAAUGACCACAGCGUUGACCUGUAUGAACGUUCAGAUAUUGGAGACACACAGAUAAAAGAUGAACAACAAGGACCGUGUUUCAAUGUAAAGACAACUGAAGAGCCGGCGCUCAACCAAGCGGAUUUGCCCCAAACAACUUACGACAUAGAUAUAUCAAAGGCCAAGGACCGGAUUAGUGAAAUGGACGACUCUGGAAAAUUCCAGCUUCUUCAGACCAGAAAACCACCCAAAUCUUUCAAUUUCCCUGCCAGAGAAUU